AAACGAUUAAAAAACAAAACAAAACAGUGAUGCUGGAGGAGGAGAGGCGCGUCUGGGUGCGCAGGGAGCGUGGCCCAGCUGAGAGAGGAAGGAGUCUUCUUCUGGCUUUUGAGUUCCAGAUGAUCGAACCCUAUCGGAAACAGAAAGAAGUCGGCGGGAAGACGGCACUGCGAAGUGUGGAAGAGCCCACCCUACCUCCAGAGGAGAGCAGGGUCCCUGGACGGAGGAGAAGGUGCGGGGGUGGGGAGGGUGGGGGGGGAGCUUCGCCCUCCCUGGGAGCAGAACUUCGGGGGUGGGAGAUGGACAUGCCCUGAGAACUGUGUUGGUCUUUUCAGUGGUUGCCGGGUGAAAUCUGUACCAAGGGGCUGUGUGGCCACUAUCAGGUCACCCCAGGGGCUGUCACUUUAGUUGUUUCUGACCAUCACUUUGGAUGAUAUCUGGAAACACAUAAGGAAAAAAGUGAAAUUCGCGAGGCCAUCGAUCACGUGAAGCCAGCAUGCCCAAGACCUGUGCGCGCUCAGAUUUCAGCCAGGCCGGCCUAACAGAGGAUAUUAAGGAGCAGAAAGCCACCCUCUCCUGUGGCUUGCCGUCGCAGAAGUCCCUGGAAAUUAGAUACAGCCCAGGGAAAACGCUGGGCGUGAACAACUACCCUAACAAGCCUAACUGCCAUCCGUGAUAAUUGCUACUCUGGCAAAACACAGGGAAGCACGUGCACGGACUUGGGGGGCCAGGGGAGGGUGCCUUGAGCUGAGACCUGAAGGAUGAGUUAGAGAUAACUAGGUGUUGGUGAGGGUGGAAGGAAAAUACUGUCCCUGGGCUGGUAAUUACCCGGUGAGCCACCCAGAAGCACAGCAAAGUGUUUUCCUGAGGAGCAGGGGAAGGGGACAGUGCUUCAGGACCCGGCCACAGCUGCAAGGGCUGCAGAGAGAUCCAGCAAAAUAAAGACCAAGAAGCAGCCGCUGGAUUAAAUCAUGAGGAGGACAUCGGUGUUGACCUUGUCAAGAGGUUUCAGCAGAAUGUGGGAAGACAGCAAAAUUGCAGGAGGCUGAGAUGCGGGAGGUGUAGAAAUAGAGAUGGGAAAUGGAGACGCUUUCGAGAAAUUUGGCUGUGAAGACAGUGGUAAAGGGCAGUGGCUGGAGCUGACAGUGGGGUCUGCAGAAGAGGCUUUUUAGACCGGGAGCCCUUGAGUAGACAUAAAUGUUGAUAGGAAGCAGCGAUUAGGAAAAGCAGGUAAACAGAGAGGAUGGAAAGGGGGUGGCCACUCAGUGAGAAGGGACCCCCUAAAUAGUUGGGCAGUGACACAAGCCAAAGCUCAGCUGGGAAAUGGACUAAACAGGAGGAGAAAGUGAUGGGAGUGGAUGUAGAUGUCUGUAGAGUUGGUGGCAGAAGGUAAAGGAGAGCUCUAAUGUCUCCGUUUUCUCGUGGAGCUAGAGGUGAUAGGAUCUGCUGAUUCAGGUGGGUGUGUGGGUGUGUGGGUGUGUGGGAAGGGUUGGAAAAAUCUAAGAAUUGAAGGCGGGAAAAUUUUGAAACAGCUACUGGAAUGGGUACAGAUUCUAGGUGUGCAAGAAAAACCACUGUUUCUGUUAUUUUUAUUUCUAUUUUGAGCUCUCAUUCCUCUAGUUGGGAGGUUCAGGGUUUGAUUCCUGGGGCCUCCUGGCGAAGGCAAGCUGGCCCACGCAGUGAGCUGGCUGGAGCAAGGAGCUGGUGCAGCAAGGUCAUGCCACAAAAAGAGACACAGAGAAGAGACCAUAAGAGACCCAGCAGACCAGCGAGCUGAGGUGGCGCAAGAGAACGAGCGCCUCUCUUCCAAUCUGGAAGGUCCCAGGAUCGGUUUCUGGUGCUGCCUAAAGAGAAUGCAAGCAGAAACAGAAGAACACACAGCGAAUGGACACAGAGAGCAAAUAGUGGGGCCGGGGUGGGGGGGAUAAAUAAAUAAAUAAAUCUUAAAAAAAAAAAGAGGUGACAAAGAGGUGGUUGGAUACAUGGGUCUGGAGCUCAGAGGAGGGGUGUGGGCUGAAAACAUCAAUUUGAGAUUCAUCGGCAUCGAGUUUGUCUCUGGAGUCCGGGGAGGUAUUGACUUGGCUCAGGGAGGAAGAAGAGGCUGAAGACCCAGACUGGAAAAACGCCAACAUUUUAAAAAAAAAAUUUAUUUUAUUUAUUUCUCCUCACCCUCUCAUUGUUUGUACUUGCUGUAUCUCGCAACAAAAAGAGACACAGAUUCCUGGUGCCGCCAAGAAUGCAAACGGACACAGAGGAACACACAGCAAAUGGACAUAGAGAGCAGACAACGGGGGUGGGGGGGGGGAAGAAAUAAAAUAAAUCUUUAAAAAAAAAAAAAGGCCUGAUGGAAGAAGAAUCAGCAAAGGAGGCUCAGAAGUUGGAAGAAAAGCAGGAGUGUCAUGUCACAGAACUAAGGGAAGUAAAUAUUUUAAGAAGUAGAUGGAAAUAAGAGAUCAACUAGGAUUAGAAUUAUAAAAUAGCCAUUGGAUAUCAGGGAUUCCUCUUUCUUUGGGUUGGGGCACAAAGAACAAUGAGAAGGUAUCAACAUAUUAUCUACUAUUUAUUGACUGCACAGUGCCUGAUUAUAUUAAUCAGCCAAUCAAUCAAAUAUUAACUGAAAACAUGCCCCGUGCCCAACGCUGUGCCUUGGACAGUGUUUUCUCUCUAUAUUCAUCAUAAUAAGGCUAUGUCCUCUGGGGUAAUGGAUGAUGAGUUGAUCCAAGGCUGUCUGGCCCACCUUAGGCACUCUGGAGUUCUUCCUGUCCUGUAUUAGGUGUGACUCUUCUGUUGAGUUUUAGAUUUAUGGGGAUAGAGUGGGUGGUGGGAGAGGGAGGACAUCCCAGCAUGACUCCAGGGGUAAGAGGUAGUGGGUUUGUAAGAGCCUGGGCAGAUGAGGCAGGUUUCACAAGCUACUGUUAGAAAAGAGAGAGAGCUGCAUUACAGUCCUCAGCUUUCAGCAAUGAGAAGAGAGAGCAAAUCAGGAAGAGGGAAAAACCUAUUCUAGAAAUUAGGAAGAUGAAGCUUUGAGGAUCUUGAGGCAGCCUGGGAUUCAACCCUAAGCCUCAGGAGGCAAAUCCACUUGUGAAUGUCUGCUUCUCAAGCGUCCACCUGCAGGUGUUGAUACCUGUUCCCAGCAUGCCCUGUGCACAAAAGGAAGCGUCUGAGGAACUCUCAUUUCCUACGCUAGGUGCACCUGAAAAUAGGGUUUCUGGGACUAAAUGAGUUUGUCAACAGGAUAGUGAAGAAUGCCAUUUAAAAGAUCCCCUUUCAGGUUAAAUUCGUUUUGGUAUAAGCAUCAAUGGAAAAGCAUGCAGCC
ensembl:lincRNA